AUUGGCACCUCUUGAAAAUCGAACAGUAUUCGAAGAUAUAUCUCGAAUAUUUCGUUAUGCAGCAUUAAACUUGGCUGCUUUACAUGCACAAUUUCAGCAUAAGACGGUUGCACAAACUGCUUUAAAAGAAGCUAUUGUAAUGGCCCAAGAAGCUGGAGAUAAUGUUUGUUUACAACUAGCACAUGCUUGGACGUAUUAUUUGAUAAGUAAAAAUAA